UCCUGACCUCGUGAUCAGCCCGCCUCGGCCUCCUUUCAAAGUGCUGGGAUUACAGGCUUGAGCCACCACACCCAGCCCAGUCUCUCCUCCGCGAUGGCUGCCCCUGUCUGCUCAUCCUCACCUGGCCUUCAGCAGGUGCUCAGCUGACAUCGGUGAGGGAAUGGGAGUGAUUCGUCAUCACAGUAACCGUGUACUUCAGAGAUGGGAUCUUUCUACGUCACCCAGGCUGGAAUGCAAUGGUUAUUCACAGGUGUGAUCAUAGCUGGUCUUGACCUCGUGGGCUCAAGUGAUCCUCCUGCCUCAGCCUCCUGAACAGCUGGGACUACAGGUGUGUGCCACCACAUUUGGCUUACCAUUAUUUUAGAAGGACUUACACCUGUCUUGCUAUCUGGAGUCUGCAGAUUUCUUACCCAAGGUAAGCUCAAGCAGGGCCUGUUGUCUGGAACAAGACCUGUUCAAAAUGUUUGCCUUAAUGCUACAGUAGUAAUGGUGAUAGUCAAUAGUAGCUUGCUAUGGGUCAGGUACUGUUGUGAGAACAGAAGCUCUCAA
rnacentral:lncRNA from 1 species